UACAGAGGCCUCGAGCGUUAGGCGGAAUCACUGGGCUUAAAGCGUGUGUAGGCGGACUUCUAAGUGCCUUGUGAAAUCCCACGGCUCACCCGUGGAACGGCUGGGCAUACUGGGAGUCUUGAGCCACCUAGGGGCUGCCGGAACAAAUGGUGGAGCGGUGAAAUGCGUAGAUAUCGUCUGGAACGCCGAAGGUGAAAACAGCUCGCUGGGGCUGCGCUGACGCUGAGACACGAAAGCCAGGGGAGCGAACGGG
rnacentral:rRNA from 1 species